rnacentral:vault_RNA from 1 species
GGGCUGGCUUUAGCUCAGCGGUUCCUUCGGCAGUGUCUUAACAACCGCUUUGCAGAGGCAGAGCGGUUUGACACCCACGGGUGCUCUCCAGCCCUUUA